ensembl:lncRNA
UCUCAGGUAAGCAGCACUGGGCUGUAUUGACGUAUCCUAAAAAUGGCAUAUGCUGCUUUAGAUUGAACGGUCACAAGUAUCAAAAAUAAGCUGUUUUCUUUACUUUCAGAGAGCGAGCUGACCAAGGGGUCGAAAACGUAGACAUUGCCAGAUGUUCACUGUCCGAGGAACAGGUCGUGGAAGCUUUAUCGCUGGAAAAGUGUCCAUAACCAGAGGUUAUAUCAGCUGUUUUGGUGAACCCCUCCCACAUUUGAUCUGGCUGACACAGGGCAUAGCAUGAUCAUGGGUAUGUUUUGAUGUGAGAGAGGAAGCCAG